AAUCCAGUGGAGGUAUUGUUCAAGGCGUUGGGGUUUGUUGGGGCAGCUGACGGGUCGUGUGGCUUUGUGUUAUGAAUAUGCGUUUUCGCUGUGUGCUUGUGAUAGUUUGAUUGCGUGAAAUUGGCUGUGAACUAAUCGCGGUAACCGUGAGCUUGGCUUCGUGGAUCCAUUUUUGGACUGCCGGUUCUUCAAAGGUGCACUCGCCACACUCGUCUGACCGGAGCACCCUCUUCACUACUUGAAACGUUUCGGCCUGGGAGUCCUCGAACCCAGUUUUCCUCCACGUGGCGUCGGUUACUUUGAAAAUUCUGGAUGGAGAUGAACUGCUGCCUCUCGCGGCUGGAGACUGACAGAGCCGUUAUCGGAGCCCUUUGUUUCGAUGACUUGCCUACGAAGAGACCGCUCCGGGCGUGGCGACCGAGUUCCCCUCCUGCUACGAGUGUGGCUGCUUCUUACCCGACCGAGAACUGCUGAGCCUCCACCUGAAAGAAGCGCACAACUCCAGGAAAGGCAAGUUUGAGUGCAGCCGGUGCCCCUACUCGAGCAUCAACAAGUUCGACGUCAAGCGCCACGAACGCAUACACACCGGCGAGAAACCCUUCCAGUGCCGGUUCUGCAACCGGGCAUUCAAUCAGUCCUCGACACUGAUCUCGCACCGGCGGACACACACGGGCGAGCGCCCGUACCGUUGCGGCCGCUGUGACCGAGGGUUCAGCAGAAAAGGCGACAUGCAGCGCCACUGGAACAGGUGCGACGGCUUCGUGUGACCUGGCCGAAGCCCCGCGUCUACGACGAGCUGCUCGGUUCAGACGUCCUCGCACCGGACAACUGCGCGCGUGGCAGCACUUGCCUGCGACGUGCGCGGCGUGAGCUUCGUGAGUGUGUCGACUGCGGUCGCGUGUGGGACGACCGGGCACGUGAUGCAACGAUUUUGCGUUUGGCGGUCGCCCUCUUCUGCCAACUCCACCUGAGCUCGGCGGGACGAGGAAUCUUGGGGACUCACUGUCAUCAUUUUUGUGUCAUUUAUUGCCCGGAGGGAAGGCCUGCAGGCCUGCAGAGAGCAGAUUGUCCAGUGUUGUCACUUGCUCCUGUCGUUCAGCGCGUGUUACGAAUGGCAACUAAAAAAUUGAUCGGCAUUGGCCGAAGACGGAUUGCGCGUAGCACAAGCAGCCUCUCUGUUUGUUCAUUGCAUUUUUACAACACUAAGUAUUGUAAAAUGUCGAAUGGACACUUACCCAGACUCAAUUGCAUUACUGUAAAAUACCGGCGAAGUACCCGCAGUACUUUUACUGAAAAUUGGGUUAAUCUAGACAUGGGCAAGCACUUAUCCAGUCAAAUUGGGCAGUUAACGAAUAAUUUGCAGAAUUCUCAAGUGUGGGAAAUUUUAAUAGUGGGCGCUUCUGCGAUAUCUUAUGGUAAUAAAAAAAAAAAUUUGGAGCAGGCACUUGCUUGAGUAUAUGUCUAUAAAUAUGUCAUGUACUCUCUCCUUUUUCAAACUGUAUGGAAAACAAGGUAGAAACUUGUGUCGGUGUGAGCGCAUGCUUGGUAUUCAAGUAAAGUGUCAACAUUUCCAAGUCGUACGGUUUAGAACGGGUCUCCAAAUGCAAAGGAAUUUUAACAUGCAUAGUUACACAGAUAUGAAACGGGACUAAGAAUGAUGAUGACAAUGUCCAAUAAAUAAUAAGACGAAAGAUGCGCCUUAUGAUUGGCAGUUUUCUCUAGUUUUAUUCGCAGGCCGGGCUUCGUUAAUAGAACUGCAGCCAGCCACGGCCAGCUCGCUGGUUGGAGUUUGGAGACCCCUCAUUUAGAACAUACUUCAAUUUACCGUGCUCUCGCAUCUCCUACGAUAUUACAUUAUUACAGAUAUAGAUGGAUGCCUAUACAGCUGUAUGAAAGACUUGAAGCAGCUUUUGCUUUCAACCAGCUUUUAUUAACAAUCAAUGGCACUGACAACGAAAUCCACCCGUAUCGGGAAUUUCGUUGCGAUUAUUAUCUUUGAUUUAUACUUAACUGUUGGUCUCUACAUCGGAGAUGCAUGUUUCUGCAUUUACUGCCCAUUCAUUAGGUGUACCUCAUGAUGGAAAUAUUAUGAUCUUGUUUUUUUGUUUUUUUUCAUGCUCCUUCCUGCUGUUCUUGUAUGAGGAUAAAUAUAAAUUAAAACAAUCAUGAUACAAAACAGAAAAACAGGUUCAUUGUGCACAAACAUUCUGAUUUUAUAUGCGGUUAUACUUUUUGGGGAGAAUAUUUUGCCCAAUAGUUAAUGCCAAGGCAUGACACUGCAUAAGUUGGCUUGUUCGCAUCAGUCUUGUGCUUGGCUUCGUGUAGGCUGAAAGUUACGUGAAAUAAAAAUUUCGCGCAUAGUUUACCGAAUUGUUAACCCCUACAUGAAGAUCAGAGAGUGAUAGCAGGAAGAUGGAUUUCUAUAUGUAAAAUCUUAGAAGAAAGUAACAAAAGUAUCAUUUUUUUGUAAAAUAAUAUUCUCCUGACAUGUAUCACUAGCAACUCAGCCAUAAAUGCAGAAGUGGACAAAAUCAGCUUUUCACUAAUGCUUUUAGUCUGGCUAGGAUAUGCAUUCCGAAUGAUUAAAAAGCACUCAACAAGAUGUACGGGAUAAAAGGCAAGCACUUCAGAUUUGUGUCUGUGCUACAUUCUUGUUCAUCGUUUCAUUCUUUUUUUUUUUUUUUGAUAAUUUUUUGUGUACUUGAUGGUAUACUUUAGUGACAAACACUAACUAGAGAUAAGUAAGGUAUUUGAGUUGGCAGCAGUUUGUAACAUGAACCCAAGACGUACAGCAAAGGACAUUAAAGUCUCCUCGAAAGCAACAUGCCAGUUGGAUAGUUCUUCUAUGUUGCCCAUAAAAGUUCCGGGAAGACUACCUCGUCUCCAUCCACGGAGGUCUUAAGAAAACUGUCUUGAGAACGUUAAGCUGUCUGUCCAUCCAUCAAAGUCCCACGAAUGCUGUUUUGUCUCUCCAUCCACGGAUUUCUUAAGAAGACAGUCUUGGGAACUCUAGAUUGUCUGUCUGUCCCACGUCCGUCAGUCUUGGGUCUCCCGUCAUAAGUGUCUUGCCACCACGCGCGUCGAAGCUAAUCGUCGAAAAUGCAUUC